rnacentral:rRNA from 1 species
GAUGAACGCUGGCGGCGUGCCUAAUACAUGCAAGUCGAGCGGAAACACUUCGGGUGUCGAGCGGCGGACGGGUGAGUAACGCGUAGAAACAUACCCCAGACUGAGGGAUAAGCACUGGAAACGGUGUCUAAUACCGCAUACGGUCUUCGGAUUAAAGCCUUCGGGCGGUUUGGGAAUGGUCUACGUCAGAUUAGCUAGUUGGUGAGGUAAAGGCUUACCAAGGCGAUGAUCUGUAGCUGGUUUGAGAGGAUGAUCAGCCACACUGGAACUGAGACACGGUCCAGACUCCUACGGGAGGCAGCAGUAGGGAAUUUUCCACAAUGGGGGCAACCCUGAUGGAGCAACGCCGCGUGCAGGAUGAAGGCCUUCGGGUUGUAAACUGCUUUUGUGAGUGAAGAUAUGACGGUAACUUACGAAUAAGGGACUGCUAACUACGUGCCAGCCGCCGCGGAAU